AAAACACAGCCCCCAGACUCACCCAAAUCAUAAACUGCAACACCCCAUCAUUGUUCCUUUAACGAUAGAAGUAUGUAAUUGUUUCAAAGAGACCGAAAUCAGUGUUUCGGCGGCUAGGAUUUCAUUGCGAACCCGACUACGGCGGUGAUUUGGGUUGUUGGUUCUGCGUCGGCUAGGGUUUCAGUUUAAAUCCGAAGACAGUGGUGAUUUCAGGUUGUCACUUCGAGGCCCGAAGCGGCAAUCGGAGAUUACGUUCACGAUCUCUCUGCGAUUCUUUCUGCAUGUUUGGUUGAUGAUCCAUUGCUUUCCGAUUCAAAUUGUUUUUAUCAGUGUUGCAUAUGUCAAGAUAGUAACUAAUCACAAGAAAUUAGUCAGGGUCUGUGACAUAAUUAAUGAAUAUCUGGAUAUUUUUAUGGCUCGACUUUGGUCCUGGAAAUGAGAGUAUUUAUUAUGCAUCCUUUCUUCAUACGAUUGCUGGAAAUGGGAGCCUAACAGAAUCAGGAUGGUAGCAGCAGCCCCGUUCAACACUCCAAGAGUCCAAGGCAACUCAUUUAGCUUUGUAAUGGACAAGGCUGGAGAUAUAUGUCAAAAUAGGAAAGCAGUUGGGUUGACCCACUACAACUUACAGUCCUUUAUAUUUUGUACAUUAUUUCCUUACCAGUUAUCCUAAUGUGACAACAUGUUCACAGAAAAACAUACCCGCCGCGAAGCGCGGGCGCCUCAGUUGCUCAUCAACAACAGGAGGGCAGGGGUUUGUCUUUAAUAUGCUAGGGUUUGCUAUUCAGAAAGGGGUAGUGGCGCAGCUUGUUGCUCGCUUACCUGCGAUAUUGAUG
rnacentral:lncRNA from 1 species